AGUGGAGGACUUUCACUGUCUUCAUGGUGGGUGUGGUGUGGUAGUAUACCUUUGAAGGGUGUGAUCCUACACCUCUAAAUCAGAUACACUGUAGUUAACAAUGUCACUUCAAUUAAAAAUAAAUGAAUAAGUUACAAUAAUAUAUAUCAAAGAAGCCAGAGACUGAACAUUCUUUUGUUACUUAAUGGAUCUGUAGAAAGACUAAGCUUUCCCGCCAAAAAGACAAACUACUUUUAGCAGAGGAAUUUCCAAAAAUAGUACUUCCUCACUUUCUGGUAAAACUAUUCCUCAUUUUGUUUAGCUUUAUCUUAAUAUUUUUUGUCUAGUAUUGAACCCAGGCCCCCUUUUGAAAUUUUUGCAAUGGUGCAUGUUUCCCAUUCUUCAAACAUCCCCUUUCUUCAAAUGUCCCCUUUCUUCAAAAAAAGAUUUCCCUGGCUGGAUCUGACCCUCAUAUAUUUGUAAAAAGUGGACACCAAUGACCCAAACUGCCCCUUGGAGGUUUUAGUCUUUGCUAUGGGCCAAUUCCUCCCUUCUUUUAAUAACUCUGCUUCCUCUUUGUUUUCUGCCAGCCUUUUCAUUCUUGUGGUAGAAAGCAGCUCUAGCUAAGCACAGCUUGCUGGGUGUGGUCCUACUGUAUUUCCCUCAUCUGGACAGCCAUGAUUCUUCUCUGCCUCGUUGGGAUUCUCUGACUCUAGCUGGUCUGUGAUUUUACUCCUGGAGGCACCACCUUAAUUCCUAGCACCAACUAUGGCUAGUUUUAGUAACUUUGCCACAGGUUAUAAGUUUAUACACUCCAAAUCAGGUGUGAGCACUAAAAAAUCCAACUUCACCUAUUAGGAUGGCUACAUAAUUUUAAAAAGAAAAAUAACAAGUGUCACUGAAGAUGUGAAGAAAUUGGAACACUCACAUAUUGCUGGUGGGAAUAUAAAAUGGUGAAACUUUUAUGAAAAACAAUAUGGUAGGGCCUCAAAAAAUUAAAAAUAGAACUAACAUAUGGUCCAGCAAGUCCAGUUGAGGUAUAGAAUUAAAAGAUAUUUAUCUAGCCAUUUCCUUAGCAACAUUAUUCACAGUAGCAAAAAGGUGACAGCAACCCAAAUGUGGUAUAUCCAUAUAACGGAGCAUUAGCCUUAAAAAGGAAGGAAAUUCUAACAGAUGCGACAGCUUGAAUUAAAUUUAAAGACAAUAUGCCAGCUGAAAAAAAGCCAGUCACAAAAAGACAAAUAAUGUAUGAAUCUAACUAUAUAAGGUCUCUAGAAGAGUCAAAUAUAUAGGAACAGAAAGUAAAAUGAUGGUUGCCAGGGGCUGGGAGGAGGAGCCAGUUUAAAUGGGUAUAGAGUUUUAGUUAUGCAGAAUGAAAAGAGUUCUGGAGAUGGUUGCACAGCCAUGUGGAUGUAAUUACUAUUACUGAACUGUACACUUACAAUGGUAAAUUAUAUGUUAUGUAUUUUACCCUAAUAAAAAAUUUAAUUAAACAAAUAAACUAAAGAAGAAGCAUUGAAACUGGGAUCUGAACUCCAGUCAUCUAAUGAAUGACAGUACAGCUCUUAACACUGGGCUGUGUUAGUCCUUCUGGUCUCGGACUCAUGUGCCUAGGAAGGCAGUUUAUCUGUCACCCACCCUUGCCAGAGCAUGCUCUUGGAAGGCUCAUUCCCCAACCCCAGCAGCUCGUCAAUGGAUUACUCCUUAUAUGUAAAUUCAGCACAUCUUUCUUUGCCCACCCAGGCCCAGAGUGCUCUGGUAUACCCAUUUCUCUCUGUUCCCUCCUGGUUCUGUUGUCAGCAGCCAGCUGGCUGGGCCACCCUCAAUUAGAUUUAACAAAAGUAGCAUGUUCUCUAACACCUACUGAAAUUGGAGCCUUGUGUGUGACUAACAUAGAGUCCUGGUACCUACACCACUGCAUUCACACUUAAUUGUGCAUCUGUUUUGUGCCUUCAUGCCAGUUAAGCUCUGCUGAGAUUUUUAUCCAUAUCUGAGGGACUUUUGUUCCACAUCUCUGCUCACAAAAGCUUGUCUCGCUUGGACAAAGGAUGCUCUGGUCAUUCUUUCACCUUAUACACUACCUAAAGGCAGGGCCUUUUCUCGUAUAUCACACAAUAUUGCUACCAUGUUUAUAUAUAUAACCAGCAUUUCAAAAAGAACAAUUUAAAGGGACUUCCAAACUUCACAAAAGUAGAGAGAACGUAUAAUAAAUACCCAUGUACUCUGUAUUCACAUUUUGCCAUUCUUGCUACUUAUAAGCAUUUAAUAACCAUGUAGUGCGAUGAUAACAUUAAAUGGAUGUAGUUUAAAAAAAUGAGAAUUUUAAAUUAGGAUGAUCUUCUUGGUAGGUACACUCAGUUUCUUAAUAGGUACUGGUGUGACAUACAUUAUUUCUGCAUAGUUAAGCCAGAUUUUACUUUUCUGAGAUUAUUUGUACCUAAUUCUGACUAAUGGCAGUGUAGAAGGAAGCUGAAUUACCCCUUUCUGUAUUUUCCUAUUGUAGAAGUCCAGAAUGCAUCAGGGUCUUGGUUUGUAAGUAACAGAAACAGAGUCCAGUUGACUUAAACCAAAUAAUCUAUUGGAAGGAUUUGGAGAAGCUCAUAGGAUCCAAGGAAAAAGAGAAGUACCUUGUAAAGGACGGUCUCCAGAACUCCAGAGCACAGGAACAAAUGCACAGUCUAGACAGGGUACCAGGGUUGCUGCUGUUGAGAUGAAUCCUCUGCUCCAGUCAGUCCUGGCACAUUUGAAUUCCCAAGAGAGAAUGUUUAGUUUUUUCUUGCCUGGCUCAGACACCCAUGCUCACGUCAGCCAAUCACUAUGACUCUGAUCUGGCUGGUUCACCCAAGAAGAAUCUCAUACUGUUGUCAAAAAGAUUAAAGGGGGGACCACAAGUAAGCAUAUUGAGCAUAUAAUAAAAAAAAUCAAUCACUUCAGUUGUUUCUAUUUCUGGCAAUGGAGCCAGAAUUCCAGAGAUGAGGGAUGUUCCCAACAUUUUCUUACUCUUUCUUCCUUGAGGCAUUUCUUGAUUCAAAAUAGUACAAAGCCAAUUCUAAAAUUAUGUGGAAACAUAGAAGGCCAGGGAUUGUCAUGGUCAUUUUGAGGAAGAGCAAAGGUAAGGACUUAUGUUAUUGGAUAUCAAAGCCUAUUAUAAAACUAUAGCACUUAAAACAGUGUGGUAUUGACAUAGUGAUACACAAACUGAUCAGUGGAAAAAUAUGUCUAAUCCAGAAACAGCCACACAUAUCAUUAACUGAUUUAUGACAAAAACCCCACAUAGUAGUGCAGUAAGGAAAGAAAUAAUUACCUUUUUAAUAAAUUAUAGUGGAUCAAUUAGCUAUCUACAUAGGAAGAGUAUAUCUUUACUUCUACUUUACCAACACAAAAAUCAAAUUCAAGUGGAUUGUACAUCUAAAGCAAUAAGGCUUUUAUAGGAAAAUAUAAGAGGAUAUCUUUAUGACUGUGAAGUACACACAGUAAAAAACAAUAACCAUAAAAGAAAGUAAUUGAGAAAGUUUAUUAUAUUAAAAUAUCAAACUUCAUCUCAUCAAAGACAGUAUUAAGAAAGUGACAAUACAUGAAAGUGGAGAAAGUUAAGUGUAAUAUAUUAAGCUAACUGACUUUUAUUGCAGACUAAGUGAAGAUCUCCAAACCAAUGAUAAAAAGCCAAACAACUCAGUGGAAAAAAGAGCAAGAAACACUUGAAAAGACAGCCGUAAAAAGUGAUAUCUGAUGGCCAAUAAACAUAUGAAAAGAUACUCAACUUCAUUAGUCAUUGUAGAAUUGCUUAUGAAAACCACAAUGAGGGGCCUCCCUGGUGGCUCAACGGGUUAAUACGCAGCACUAUGAAGCAAUC